rnacentral:sRNA from 1 species
AUUAAAGCUUAUAGGAUCUGCAUUUUUAAUUUUGGGUGGGUUUGGAGUAAUGGUCUCUUAAUCACGGAUUCAAGUACCUAAUCGGAUUUAGCAUCCAAAGUAGACAAUCUUAACCGUUCAACAAUAAUUAGUAUCUCUACUUCAUUUUGGUAUCUAAAUAUGAGCAUAUUUCAUCCCAAAGAGAAUUAUAAUCACAAAAAAAUAUUUCAAAAAAACACUUAUAAUCACAAAAAGAAUUACAUCACUUUUACUAUUUUACAUUUUUGUUACUACUUUACUUAUAUUUAUAUUACAUACACAUUUACUAAUUAAUACACAUAUUUAAACACAAUAAAACACAUUAUUCUAAAUACUAAAUAACAACCAACUAAUAAAAAGUCUCAAUCAUUAUUUAUAAAAAGUUUUUUAAAAAUGUAUUUUAUAAAUUU